CCUACUUGAACAUCCUGCCUCUGGGAAUUUAUCUUGUGUAGAUACUUGCAUACAUGAAAUGAUCUAUGCUCAAGUGAGGAAGAACUGUGGGAUUGCAUUAAUUGGAAAGUGUGUUAAGAAUGUGGGACACUUUGGAGCCCUGAGCCACCAGGAAGAUUCCUUGCGUAACUGAUUUUAGUAAGCUAUGUCUGGCAAUAUCACCUUAAAAUCUUGGAGAAACCCAGGCUACUUUGAGGAGCACUAAGGUUCUAUUUUUAGACUUCAUUCAGAAAUAUGACUGAAGGUUAAUGAGGGCAGAGUAUUCAGAAUAGAAACCUGCUUUUGGAGAAGGAGUGCUUACCUAAAGAAAGGCACCGAGCCCUCUCUCCUCCUGGAUUUUAUCAGCCUCUCCUAACGGGUGUGUGGUGUGUCGUGUUUGUCGGUGUGUGUCUAAGCUCCACUUGUUCACUUUUGUUGGCCGCACUAAUGACUUUCCUACUACGCAGUCAAAUGUGUCUCUGAAUAGCCUGACUCCAGGGAUGCUAAGUGUGGCUAAACGGUGACUCAGUAUCUGUGAGCCUCUAUUGUAGUGGCAGUGGGACCACUGUGUGGGUGGACGUUUGCACAUCUUCCUGGUGACUCACCCUGCAGCCUGCCUUUCUGAGGAGAAGUAGCUGUAGGUGGCUGCAAAGUUCUACUCGGCUUCUCUCUUCUCUGUCUCAUCAUACUGUGCAGAUUGGGUAUCCCCAAGUCCUCAAAAUCACUCAGCUGGGUGUCUUGAAUGUACCUAGUCUCCCAAGCUGUCCACAGAUCAGUGCAGUUUUUUAAAACAGAAGUGUUUUGUUUCUAAAUGUCUGUUGUAGGUCUGGCCAUAGGUGCCAGAGUCCACAGGUUAAACAAAACACGGCUCAUCACCCAGAGACAACCUGGGCAAGCAUACU